AAAAUUAAAAGGACGCGGUAACCUUGACCGUGAUAAUGUAGCAUAAUCAUUCGCCAUUUAAUUGAUGGAUAGUAUGAAUGGUUGAACGAAUAUUUCACUGUCUUAAAAAGAAAUACUUAAAAAUUAGAAUAAUAGUAAAGAUACUAUUUAAUAUUGUAAGACGAAAAGACCCUAUAGAGCUUAACUAUAAUUUUUUUAUUAUAACAAAAAACAUUUUUAAAAAUAGGAAAAUAGGUAGUUUAGUUGGGGCGACUAUCUUUUAAAAUAAACAAAGAUAAGCAAAGUUAAUUUUAAAACUUAUUGUAUAAUACAUUAAUUUAACAAUUAUAAAUAUAGGCAAUAAUGACCCGUUAUAAUUUAAUAAAAAAUAUAACGAUUAAUAAAUAAAAGCUACCUUAGGGAUAACAGGAUAAUUUUAUUUUAGAGACCUAAUCAAAAAUAAAGUUUGUCACCUCUAUGUUGAAUUAAGA
rnacentral:rRNA from 1 species